rnacentral:rRNA from 1 species
UACGUAGGGGGCAAGCGUUGUCCGGAAUCAUUGGGCGUAAAGAGCGUGUAGGCGGCCAGGUAGGUCUGCUGUGAAAACUCGAGGCUCAACCUCGAGAUGUCGGCGGAAACCAUCUGGCUAGAGUCCGGAAGAGGAGAGUAGAAUUCCUGGUGUAGCGGUGAAAUGCGCAGAUAUCGAGAGGAACACCUGCGGCGAAGGCGGGUUGCUGGGCCGACACUGACGCUGAGGCGCGAAAGCCAGGGGAGCGAACGGG